UACGUAGGGACCAAGCGUUGUUCGGAUUUACUGGGCGUAAAGGGCGCGUAGGCGGCGUGACAAGUCACUUGUGAAAUCUCUGAGCUUAACUCAGAACGGCCAAGUGAAACUGUUGUGCUAGAGUGCAGAAGGGGCAAUCGGAAUUCUUGGUGUAGCGGUGAAAUGCGUAGAUAUCAAGAGGAACACCUGAGGUGAAGACGGGUUGCUGGGCUGACACUGACGCUGAGGCGCGAAAGCCAGGGGAGCAAACGGG
rnacentral:rRNA from 2 species